AAUUUGCACAAACCCAGUGUUAUCCUGGCGCUUUGGGGCUGGGGCUGUGCCCAGCUGCUGGCAGAGGCCGCACAGCCUGGCACAGCCCUCCCUGCUGCCCCCUGGCCACCCGGCUGCUGCGCUGAGACGGCGCCAACUCAUUUCGCCCGGAGCGAGCAAUGACAGCUCCCUGCUGAGUGGGGCUGGACAGGGCGGCUUAACAGCCCGAUUGGCUUUGCCUGUUGGAAUGAGCAGAAGAGGAGGGUUGGCGCCCCGACAGAGAGGAGGGACCAUCAUCAGUCUCCUGGUGACACUUGGCCAACUCAUUGUAUCCGGUCUCUGCCCUCCUUUUCCAGCUGCCUGGGCUGGACUGGAGCUGCCUGGACGGAGACGGCUGCCCUACAUGCCAUGAGUCCCCAGGCACUCCUUUGGGUCAGGCCUGCUCGCGUCUGCCGGCUCCUGAGACUGGCAGGGAGGAGGGGAAGAAGCACCCAUGUAGCUGCCCCAGUGCCUGCGGGUGCUGGGGUGGCAUCACAGGCACCCCACCACCUUGAUGGCUCCCCGCUCCCCAAAAUGUGGGUGCUCCUGCUGACCCUGGGGCCUGCUGGCUUUGGGGGCUAGUGCAGCCAAAAGCAGCUUUCGGGGCCCAAUGUAGGCUCCACUUUUCAGCUGUAGGAUUUUUUUUUAACUCCCCACCCUUCUUGCUGGCAGGCCUGAAAAUUGUCUUGGAAAGGGAUUUUUAAAUAAAAGUUGUAAGCACA